AGAUUGAACGCUGGCGGCAGGCCUAACACAUGCAAGUCGAGCGGUAGAGAGGUGCUUGCACCUCUUGAGAGCGGCGGACGGGUGAGUAAUGCCUAGGAAUCUGCCUGGUAGUGGGGGAUAACGCUCGGAAACGGACGCUAAUACCGCAUACGUCCUACGGGAGAAAGCAGGGGACCUUCGGGCCUUGCGCUAUCAGAUGAGCCUAGGUCGGAUUAGCUAGUUGGUGGGGUAAUGGCUCACCAAGGCGACGAUCCGUAACUGGUCUGAGAGGAUGAUCAGUCACACUGGAACUGAGACACGGUCCAGACUCCUACGGGAGGCAGCAGUGGGGAAUAUUGGACAAUGGGCGAAAGCCUGAUCCAGCCAUGCCGCGUGUGUGAAGAAGGUCUUCGGAUUGUAAAGCACUUUAAGUUGGGAGGAAGGGCAUUAACCUAAUACGUUAGUGUUUUGACGUUACCGACAGAAUAAGCACCGGCUAACUCUGUGCCAGCAGCCGCGGUAAUACAGAGGGUGCAAGCGUUAAUCGGAAUUACUGGGCGUAAAGCGCGCGUAGGUGGUUCGUUAAGUUGGAUGUGAAAGCCCCGGGCUCAACCUGGGAACUGCAUUCAAAACUGUCGAGCUAGAGUAUGGUAGAGGGUGGUGGAAUUUCCUGUGUAGCGGUGAAAUGCGUAGAUAUAGGAAGGAACACCAGUGGCGAAGGCGACCACCUGGACNGAUACG
rnacentral:rRNA from 1 species